AUCUUGGUCCGCCGCAAUGGAGGCCUGUGAACCCGGUCAGGUCCGGAAGGAAGCAGCCGUAAGCAUGUUUAUCCAUGUGCCGGCGGAGUGCCAGGUCAGA
rnacentral:SRP_RNA from 1 species